UACGUAGGGGCCGAGCGUUGUCCGGAGUUACUGGGCGUAAAGCGCGCGCAGGCGGCGCAUCGCGCCCGGCGUGAAAGCCCCCGGCUCAACCGGGGAGGGUCGUCGGGGACGGGUGCGCUUGAGGACGGCAGGGGCAGGUGGAAUUCCCGGUGUAGUGGUGAAAUGCGUAGAUAUCGGGAGGAACACCAGUGGCGAAGGCGACUUCCUGGCCUGUUCUUGACGCUGAGGCGCGAAAGCUAGGGUAGCAAACGGG
rnacentral:rRNA from 1 species